UACGUAGGGUGCGAGCGUUUGUCCGGAAUUACUGGGCGUAAAGAGCUCGUAGGUGGUUUGUCGCGUUGUUCGUGAAAACCGGGGGCUUAACCCUCAGCGUGCGGGCGAUACGGGCAGACUGGAGUACUGCAGGGGAGACUGGAAUUCCUGGUGUAGCGGUGGAAUGCGCAGAUAUCAGGAGGAACACCGGUGGCGAAGGCGGGUCUCUGGGCAGUAACUGACGCUGAGGAGCGAAAGCGUGGGGAGCGAACAGG
rnacentral:rRNA from 1 species